AGUGAACGCUGGCGGUAGGCCUAACACAUGCAAGUCGAACGGCAGCACAGGAGAGCUUGCUCUCUGGGUGGCGAGUGGCGGACGGGUGAGGAAUACAUCGGAAUCUACUCUGUCGUGGGGGAUAACGUAGGGAAACUUACGCUAAUACCGCAUACGACCUACGGGUGAAAGCAGGGGAUCUUCGGACCUUGCGCGAUUGAAUGAGCCGAUGUCGGAAUAGCUAGUUGGCGGGGUAAAGGCCCACCAAGGCGACGAUCCGUAGCUGGUCUGAGAGGAUGAUCAGCCACACUGGAACUGAGACACGGUCCAGACUCCUACGGGAGGCAGAAGUGGGGAAUAUUGGACAAUGGGCGCAAGCCUGAUCCAGCCAUACCGCGUGGGUGAAGAAGGCCUUCGGGUUGUAAAGCCCUUUUGUUGGGAAAGAAAUCCAGCUGGCUAAUACCCGGUUGGGGUGACGGUACCCAAAGAAUAAGCACCGGCUAACUUCGUGCCAGCCGCCGCAGUAA
rnacentral:rRNA from 1 species